rnacentral:rRNA from 1 species
UGCAGCAAUGUGUUGAUCAGAAAUUUGACUAUACUGGCUCCACAUGACUCUCCCAACACUGAUGGAAUUGAUCCAGAUUCGAGCAGCAAUGUGUGCAUUGAGGAUUGCAACAUCUCGACGGGAGAUGACCUGAUCGCCAUCAAGAGUGGAUGGGAUGAAUAUGGCAUAGCCUAUGGUCGCCCCAGCUCGGGCAUCACCAUUAGGCGGAUCACGGGCUCCUCCCCUUUUGCUGGCUUUUCUGUCGGGAGUGAGACCUCUGGCGGUGUGGAGGAUGUCCUCGCUGAGCAUCUGAAUUUCUACAGCUCAGGGUUUGGUGUUCACAUCAAGACCAACUCCGGCAGGGGAGGGUUCAUUCGAAACAUCACCGUCUCUGACGUGAUCUUGGACAAUGUCCGUUAUGGUCUGAGGAUUGCCGGUGAUGUUGGAGGACAUCCUGAUGAGCGGUACGACCACAAUGCGCUCCCAAAGGUCGACAGCCUGACAAUAAAGAAUGUUCAAGGGCAGAACAUCAAGGAGGCUGGGCUGAUCAAGGGCAUUCCAAACUCGGCAUUCUCCUGGAUCUGUCUGUCUAACAUUAAGCUUCAUGGCAGCGCGCCAGUCCGCCCAUGGAAAUGCGCGGCUGUGAGUGGAGGUGCACUCGACGUGCAGCCCUCCCCGUGCACAGAAUUGACUAGCACGUCCGGGAUGAGCUUCUGUACGAGUUCCCUCUGA